GCCGGUGUAGCUCAGUGGCAGAGCAGCUGAUUCGUAAUCAGCAGGUCGGGGGUUCAAGUCCCCCCGCCGGCUCCA
rnacentral:tRNA from 1 species